rnacentral:rRNA from 1 species
UGAGGAAUAUUGGUCAAUGGGCGCGAGCCUGAACCAGCCAAGUAGCGUGAAGGAUGAAGGUCCUAUGGAUUGUAAACUUCUUUUAUAGCAGAAUAAAGUGACCCACGUGUGGGUUUUUGUAUGUAUGCUAUGAAUAAGGAUCGGCUAACUCCGUGCCAGCAGCCGCGGUAAUACGGAGGAUCCGAGCGUUCUCCGGAUUUAUUGGGUUUAACGGGUGCGUAGGCGGAAAGAUAAGUCAGCCUGUGAAAGUUUGCGGCUCAACCGUAAAAUUGCAGCUGAUAACGUUUUUGUUGAGUGUACAUAAGGUAGGCGGAAUGCGUGGUGUAGCGGUGAAAUGCUUAGAUAUCACGAAGAACUCCGAUUGCGAAGGCAGCUUACCGGGGUACAACUGACGCUGAUGCACGAAAGUGUGGGUAUCAAACA